UCUAAGGCCGAUUUUUCCAGAUUGUGAUCCUACCGAUGAUGCUGUCAGAUUUUGUGCCUGCAUAUGUAUCUGUAAGUAUAUAUAUUUAAUCAUUAUUUAUAUUAUAUUAGUCGAUAAAAAAUAAUCAAAUUAUUAUAGAUAUUUUUAAUCAAAAUUUUGUAUUUUUAACUUGGAUAGAAUUUUUAUUUUAUUGAAUGUGUUUUUAUAUCGAUUUUUAUCGAUGAUGAGAGUCAAUAUUUGUAAUCUUGUAGAAUUUUUAUAUUUAUCUGUAAAAUUUGGAAAUGUGUAAGUUAGGCAGGUCACACGAUCCAGUAGACAAUGAUCCACGCCUCAGGUUAUAAGAGCGAACAGAUUUUCUGUUAAUUGUUUAGUGUGGUGCAUAGAAGAGUUCAUUAUUUAAGGUCACGGGAAACGAAUUUGUAGAGUAAGGUCGCCAUUUAAAAAUUUUAAAUACGAAAAGUCACAUUAUUUGCACAUGUGGCCAUAUGGUAGUUUUAUCAAGCAUUGCAAAUUCCCAUCAGAACAUGUUUGGUUGUUUACGUUGACCUUACUACAUAACUUCAUUUCCUGUGACCUUGAUAACGAACUUCUCUAUGUACAAACUUCUGAUAUGCCACCCAAACAAUUAACCAGAGGACGACAAAAGUCAAACAUACCCCGAAGAUACUACCGUAAAUAAACUGUAAUUAAGCGCAUAGAACUUAGCCAUUAAAAAAAAAUAAUAAUAAAAAUCUCGGUUAAUAAAAAGAGACGGCUUAGAAUCAACCGCUUCGACCUUUUUAACCGUAUCAUUAA
rnacentral:lncRNA from 1 species